rnacentral:rRNA from 1 species
UACGUAGGGUGCAAGCGUUGUCCAGAAUUAUUGGGCGUAAAGAGCUUGUAGGCGGUUUGUCGCGUCUGCUGUGAAAUUUCGGGGCUCAACCCCGAACUUGCAGUGGGUACGGGGCAGACUAGAGUGCUGUAGGGGAGACUGGAAUUCCUGGUGUAGCGGUGAAAUGCGCAGAUAUCAGGAGGAACACCGGUGGCGAAGGCGGCUCACUGGCCCGGUAGCUGACGCUGAGGUGCGAAAGCGUGGGGAGCAACAGG